CCCAAAAUAGAGAACCUCUAAGUAUCUUCACCAAGGUUAGAUUGAAGAAGAAAUGAGUGACCUUGGAGUAGUGGGAUUGCUAGAUGCACCCUCCAAGGGGCCGGCAUCUUUAGAGAGAAAUGGAGAGACAUGUUCUCUCCAAUUUUCUCCAAAACAAACCCUAAAUGAAUUUUGGCUAUAAAGUCAUAUUUAUACCUUUAUUCAUUUGAAUGGCAAACUUGUAAAUAAGUCCAAGUUCACUACCCUUAACCAUAUGGCCGGCCUUAGGGUGUUGU
rnacentral:lncRNA from 1 species